GAGCAGGAGGCUCAGGGUUGGUCACGUUGGGCUUGGAUUUGCGACAGGGAUGAGCAGAGCACGGAUGGCCACGUCUGACAUCUGGCGAAGGCCGCCGCUCCAGGCUCCACGGGCACGGGGGAGUGAAGGAAGGAACGAGGCGACCGGUCGUGGUUAGGGUGGCGGGAGGGGCGGACGGACGGUGCGGAUCUCCCCAUCCUGCUAAUCUAGCGGCGACCGAACGAAGCAGCCAUUUUGGGUCUCACUCUCACCUCCGCCUUGUUCUGCUCACUCUGCUUUCCCUCGCGCCGAUACCACCGCCACCGCCACCGGUCGCGCCGUCGCCCUCGUCCUCUGCAGCCACCAGGCUCUGCCCCUAUCCUCUUUUCCUGCUUCCUCGCGCUUGCCCGUGACCACACUCCGCCGCCAGGCAGAGCUCGCUCCUAUCCACCCAGAGCGCAUCCUGUUCGACGAAAUGCCCAGCUCGCAGCCGUCCCUUGUUUCCCCAGUCGCAUCUGCAGCUGCACACAUGAUGCAUGCGUGCGCCUUGUCUCAGUAGGAAUUGGCAUUGCUACUUUCUCUAGAGAUUCAGUUUUUUCUUCGCAGCUGGGUAAGGAUUCAGUCUGUUAGCAUACAAGCAAGAUGGCAUCCAAGCUAUUCAGCCCAAAAAAUCUGCGCGUCUUCUCCCCGAGGCUGCACAUGCUGAACGAGGCGUUCUGUUACAGCCCGUUUAACCGUAGCAUGCAGAGGAGGUGGAAGAAGCCGGUGGACUCAGCACGAACCCGCCUGGAGAGCAGAACAAGGGACCAUAGGCUGGACAAGCUGAUGAUCCAGCUCAAGAACCUGAGGCUGGCCUUGGAUUUGCACGCCGUGAUAUCCCAGCAGAGGAAUGGCUACGCGUCGCUCCAGCUCCUUCUGAGGUGGAGGCGUGAGAUCGGCCUCAACACCGAGAUCGGCGCUUUCCUCAAGAAAUACCCCCACAUUUUCGAGAUCUACGUGCACCCUGUCAAAAGGAACCAUUGCUGCAGGAUCACCCGAAAGAUGGCUGAUUUGGUCGCCGAAGAAGAUGCUGUCAUCAGGGAAAAUGAGCCCGCCGUGGUUCAGCGGCUCAAGAAACUUCUCAUGAUGUCUACGGACGGAACUCUGAAUAUGCAUGCAUUAUGGCUCGUAAGGAAGGAGCUUGGCCUGCCCGAUGACUACAGGUCUUCUAUGCUGCCAAACCAUCAGUCUGAUUUUUCUCUUGAAACCCCUGAUACUCUGACAUUGAUCACCAGGGAUGAGAAUCUGGCUGUAGCUAAUGUCGAAGAAUGGAGGGACAAGGAGUAUACAGAAAAAUGGUUAGCGGAAUAUGAGACCAAAUAUGCUUUUCCAGUAAACUUCCCUACAGGCUUUAAGAUUGAGAAAGGUUUUAGGGAAAAGCUUAAGAAUUGGCAGAGGCUUCCCUACACCAAACCUUACGAGAAGAAUGAUUUGCAUCCAAUCACCAACUCUGAGAGGCUUGAGAAACGUAUUGUUGGUAUUCUUCAUGAACUCUUAAGCUCGACAGUCGAAAAGAUGGUGCCACUGGAGAGGUUGUCACACUUCAGGAGACCAUUUUCGAUGGAGGUAAACUUGCGGGAACUUCUUCUUAAGCACCCUGGCAUUUUCUACAUCUCGACGAAAGGAAGCACGCAAACUGUGCUUCUUAGGGAGAGUUAUAAUAAAGGAUGUUUGCUUGAGCCAAACCCUGUUUAUAGCGUGCAAAGGAAAAUGUUAGAUCUGAUUUUGGCUGGAUGCCGUGGCAUUGUUCAAACUGAAAAUGCCAUCUCACUUGUUGAGGAGGAUAGCCAGGGAAGCAGUCAUGGGUCACAGAAUCACACAUGCCAGGUGGAUAACAUGAAUUCCAUGUCACAGUUUGAAAGUGACUCCUCUGUAGAGUCAUUUUCUUGAGGAGUCUUUCUGUGACUCAGGUGAAAUAGGAUUUGGUGAAUUAAUGCAGUAAUGGGAGAAUCUGAAGCAUUCAGAAGACAACAAACAAGCUUUUGGCGCUCUCUGAAGUACAAGUAGUCAGGCAGGGGUUCCUAAACUUGAGUUGUCUUACAGCAAGUGCUCAAGUGUUCAUCCACUGCUCUGAAGCAAUGUAACCCGUAAAAAUAUCGCACCUUCAGAAGAUAAACAUGGGAAACUUUGAUUUUUAAGGUCAAACCAAAGCAUGUAAAUUAACCCUUCUAACUAGCGAAAUUAGCACCUGUGUGCAAUCCAUUGACACAUUUUUCUGUAACAGCAACCCACUUCUCCAAACUGAUCAUGGAUUUCUGCUUGGCUGUAAAUUUAUCACAGAUACUGUGGACAAUUUCAAAGGAAAGAAGGAAUGGCAAG